UACGGAGGUGGCAAGCGUUGCUCGGAUUUACUGGGUGUAAAGGGCAAGUAGGCGGUCUCGUAAGCCCUGCCUGAAAGGCUCUGGCUCAACCAGAGUAUGCGGCAGGGUACUGCAAGACUCGAGGAUGGAAGAGGCCAACGGAAUUCCCGGUGUAAGGGUGAAAUCUGUAGAUAUCGGGAGGAACACCAGUGGCGAAGGCGGUUGGCUGGUCCAUUUCUGACGCUGAGGUGCGAAAGCUAGGGGAGCGAACAGG
rnacentral:rRNA from 1 species